rnacentral:rRNA from 1 species
AUUGAACGCUGGCGGCAUGCCUAACACAUGCAAGUCGAACGGUAACGCGGAGAGCUUGCUCUCUGGCGACGAGUGGCGGACGGGUGAGUAAUACUUAGGAAUCUGCCCAAUAGUGGGGGACAACAUUCGGAAACGGAUGCUAAUACCGCAUACGCACUACGGUGGAAAGUGGGGGACCUUCGGGCCUCACGCUAUUGGAUGAGCCUAAGUCGGAUUAGCUUGUUGGUGAGGUAAAAGCUCACCAAGGCGACGAUCCGUAGCUGGUCUGAGAGGACGAUCAGCCACACUGGGACUGAGACACGGCCCAG